rnacentral:rRNA from 1 species
AGAGUUUUGAUCCUGGCUCAGGACGAACGCUGCGGCGUGCUUAACACAUGCAAGUCGAACGGAAAGGCCUCUUCGGAGGUACUCGAGUGGCGAACGGGUGAGUAACACGUGGGUGAUCUGCCCUGCACUCUGGGAUAAGCCUGGGAAACUGGGUCUAAUACCGGAUAGGACCAUGCUUUAGUGUGUGUGGUGGAAAGUUUUUUCGGUGUAGGAUGAGCCCGCGGCCUAUCAGCUUGUUGGUGGGGUAAUGGCCUACCAAGGCGGCGACGGGUAGCCGGACUGAGAGGUUGGUCGGCCACAUUGGGGCUGAGAUACGGCCCAGACUCCUACGGGAGGCAGCAGUGGGGAAUAUUGCACAAUGGGCGCAAGCCUGAUGCAGCGACGCCGCGUGGGGGAUGACGGCCUUCGGGUUGUAAACUCCUUUCGCCAGGGACGAAGCGUUUUGUGACGGUACCUGGAGAAGAAGCACCGGCUAACUACGUG